UCAAGAGAACGUGAAAUCGCUGGAGUGGAACCGGAGAGAGUUGACGUAGUCGGGUAACUAAGUUUGCCAAAAUCGCUUAAUUGUGAUAGCGGCGAAUGUAUGUUGCCUAGGACUGCGCUGACAGCACUGGCUGUGCGUUCCGAACCGCUUGCGUUGCCCACUUCGGUGGUGUCUUGCUUGCGAAUAGGUUUGUCAUGGCUAGUGUUUUAUCCUGCUGUGCAGGGUGUCAGUGUGAAAGUCGACCACCUCUCCGAC
rnacentral:rRNA from 1 species